CGACAGGAGGUGCAUCCUUCCAGAUUUACACCUUCUCUUCAAAGGACUCUUCCUCAAGAUCUCCAGCAAUUCCUGGAGUCCCUAGGAUACUAUUUCCGCCUCUUGCUAUUCAAGCUCAAGGAGUUGUAUGGUUACCCUUCAUUUCUGGCUUGUCAGGAUCAUCCUUUGUUGUUCCUUCAAUUGUGCUACAUCUCUGCCAAGAUUCAACUGCAAGCUGUAGGCUUGAAAAGACAGGACUUCCUGUUGUCCUCCAGCCCCUACUUUACAGGUUAAACAAAGAUAAGCAAACAGAAAGGAUUUCAGCUUCCACAAAACCAAGGACAGAAUCCACUUCUGGGAUAGCAGAAGGUCUUUCCAGGCUCUGAAGCAGUCAGGAAGGAAAGGUAUAUUUCAGAAUUCAGGGUCUUGAGCAUGUGAGGAUUGGACACUUCCCAGGGUUUAUUGCCACCAGUUUGGAAGAUCCUGCCUUUAGAAGAUCAUGCUUUGUGACUGAGAAUGUGCGAAAACCAUCUCUAAAUAAGAGAGUAUCUUGAUGAGUCCCUUGAAUCCCAACCAAGUCCAGCAAUUCAAAAUUGUGCAUUUUACAAACUGUUUCUGCUGAAGAAUGUUCACAGUGGUUCCUUGUUGCCCUCACCACUAGGAACAAAAUCCUUGUUCUACAUUCCCGCUGGAGAUAGCGGAGGCUUGGAUAGCCCGAAAGUAAAUUUUUUAUAAAUCCUGGCUUGUAUGCUCCCAUUGCAAUUAGUGAGGAUUAGGAUGCUAUACUAGAUUUUUGUUGGUAGAGGGAAAGUAACCUUAGUUCCUUUGGCUAAUUUGUGACAAAGAAGCAUUCUUGGCUUUAACCAAUGAAAUCAUGCCCAUUUGUAAAUGGAUUAGUGCAGAAUUUGCCUAGCUUUUUCCCCUUCCUACUUCAACUAUACUUGCUAUGGGUUUUUAAAAAAUGCAUGAGAACUAUUUUAUUCCUAUUUUUUCAUACUAAAAAGUUAUUGUGGGAAUUUCUCUUAUUCCAGUUAUCAAUACACUAAUGUGCACACACAGACACCCAUACACACAUACAAUCUUUUAAUGCUAUCUAGUUAGACAACUAGUCUUACUCUGAAUCCUGUAAAUAUAUGGGCUUUUAAAUCUGGAUCUGAUAGCAUUGCUCUGUAAUUCCAGUUGAUAGGAAUAGACUAUGGUGUAUGUGGCCUUCAUAACAAGUUUAAAGUCAGCCUGUGCAAGUUAAUAAGAUCCUGUCUCAAUUAUAUAUAU